UACGGAGGGGGCUAGCGUCGUUCGGAAUUACUGGGCGUAAAGCGCACGUAGGCGGCUUUGUAAGUUAGAGGUGAAAGCCCGGGGCUCAACCCCGGAACUGCCUUUAAGACUGCAUCGCUUGAAUCCAGGAGAGGUGAGUGGAAUUCCGAGUGUAGAGGUGAAAUUCGUAGAUAUUCGGAAGAACACCAGUGGCGAAGGCGGCUCACUGGCCUGGUAUUGACGCUGAGGUGCGAAAGCGUGGGGAGCAAACAGG
rnacentral:rRNA from 1 species